UGGGGAAUAUUGGACAAUGGGCGAAAGCCUGAUCCAGCAAUGCCGCGUGUGCGAUGAAGGCCUUAGGGUUGUAAAGCACUUUUAGUAGAGAAGAAAGGCACAGAAUUAAUACCUCUGUGAGUUGACGUUAUCUACAGAAAAAGCACCGGCUAACUCUGUGCCAGCAGCCGCGGUAAUACAGAGGGUGCUAGCGUUAAUCGGAUUUACUGGGCGUAAAGCGCUCGUAGGCGGAUCUUUAAGUCGGAUGUGAAAUCCCUGGGCUUAACCCAGGAACUGCAUCCGAUACUGGGGAUCUUGAGUAUGGUAGAGGAAAGUGGAAUUUCCGGUGUAGCGGUGAAAUGCAUAGAUAUCGGAAGGAACAUCAGUGGCGAAGGCGGCUUUCUGGACCAUAACUGACGCUGAGGGGCGAAAGCGUGGGUAGCAAACAGG
rnacentral:rRNA from 1 species